rnacentral:rRNA from 1 species
AGCUACAGGCUUAACACAUGCAAGUCGAGGGGAAACGACAUCGAAAGCUUGCUUUUGAUGGGCGUCGACCGGCGCACGGGUGAGUAACGCGUAUCCAACCUGCCCACCACUUGGGGAUAACCUUGCGAAAGUAAGACUAAUACCCAAUGAUAUCUCUAGAAGACAUCUGAAAGAGAUUAAAGAUUUAUCGGUGAUGGAUGGGGAUGCGUCUGAUUAGCUUGUUGGCGGGGUAACGGCCCACCAAGGCGACGAUCAGUAGGGGUUCUGAGAGGAAGGUCCCCCACAUUGGAACUGAGACACGGUCCAAACUCCUACGGGAGGCAGCAGUGAGGAAUAUUGGUCAAUGGACGAGAGUCUGAACCAGCCAAGUAGCGUGCAGGAUGACGGCCCUAUGGGUUGUAAACUGCUUUUAUAAGGGAAUAAAGUGAGUCUCGUGAGACUUUUUGCAUGUACCUUAUGAAUAAGGACCGGCUAAUUCCGUGCCAGCAGCCGCGGUAAUACGGAAGGUCCGGGCGUUAUCCGGAUUUAUUGGGUUUAAAGGGAGCGUAGGCCGGAGAUUAAGCGUGUUGUGAAAUGUAGACGCUCAACGUCUGCACUGCAGCGCGAACUGGUUUCCUUGAGUACGCACAAAGUGGGCGGAAUUCGUGGUGUAGCGGUGAAAUGCUUAGAUAUCACGAAGAACUCCGAUUGCGAAGGCAGCUCACUGGAGCGCAACUGACGCUGAAGCUCGAAAGUGCGGGUAUCGAACAGGAUUAGAUACCCUGGUAGUCCGCACGGUAAACGAUGGAUGCCCGCUGUUGGUCUGAAUAGGUCAGCGGCCAAGCGAAAGCAUUAAGCAUCCCACCUGGGGAGUACGCCGGCAACGGUGAAACUCAAAGGAAUUGACG